UGAGUAACGCGUAUCCAACCUUCCGCUUACUCGGGGAUAGCCUUUCGAAAGAAAGAUUAAUACCCGAUGGUAUCUUAAGCACGCAUGAGAUUAAGAUUAAAGAUUUAUCGGUAAGCGAUGGGGAUGCGUUCCAUUAGGCAGUUGGCGGGGUAACGGCCCACCAAACCUACGAUGGAUAGGGGUUCUGAGAGGAAGGUCCCCCACAUUGGAACUGAGACACGGUCCAAACUCCUACGGGAGGCAGCAGUGAGGAAUAUUGGUCAAUGGGCGAGAGCCUGAACCAGCCAAGUAGCGUGAAGGAUGACGGCCCUACGGGUUGUAAACUUCUUUUGUGCGGGAAUAAAGGAACCUACGUGUAGGUUUUUGCAUGUACCGUAACGAAUAAGCAUCGGCUAACUCCGUGCCAGCAGCCGCGGUAAUACGGAGGAUGCGAGCGUUAUCCGGAUUUAUUGGGUUUAAAGGGAGCGUAGACGGGUUUUUAAGUCAGCUGUGAAAGUUUGGGGCUCAACCUU
rnacentral:rRNA from 1 species